GACCAUGGCUCAGGAUGAACGCUAGCGGCAGGCUUAACACAUGCAAGUCGAGGGGCAGCGCGGGGCGGCAACGUCCUGGCGGCGACCGGCGGAAGGGUGCGUAACGCGUGAGCGACAUGCCCGUUGCCCGGGGACAACCGGUGGAAACGCCGACUAAUCCCCGAUGGGACGGAGGCCCUCAUGGGUCUCUGUUGAAAGUUACGGCGGCGACGGAUUGGCUCGCGUCCGAUUAGCUUGUUGGCGGGGUAACGGCCCACCAAGG
rnacentral:rRNA from 1 species